rnacentral:rRNA from 1 species
GACGAACGCUGGCGGCGUGCUUAACACAUGCAAGUCGAGCGGUAAGGCCCUUUCGGGGGUACACGAGCGGCGAACGGGUGAGUAACACGUGGGUGACCUGCCCUCAGCUCUGGGAUAAGCCUGGGAAACCGGGUCUAAUACCGGAUAUGACUCCAUGACGCAUGUUGUGGGGUGGAAGCCUUGUGCGGCUGAGGAUGGGCCCGCGGCCUAUCAGCUUGUUGGUGGGGUGAUGGCCUACCAAGGCGACGACGGGUAGCCGGCCUGA